rfam:Schistosoma mansoni strain Puerto Rico chromosome 1, complete genome
AUUUAGCUGAUGAUUCCCAAAUAGGAGGAAACACGUAUCCUGGAU